rnacentral:rRNA from 1 species
AACGAACGCUGGCGGCGUGCCUAACACAUGCAAGUCGAACGGAAGUAAGGGGCUUGCUCCUUACUUUAGUGGCGCACGGGUGAGUAACGCGUAGAUAAUCUGCCUGAUGAUUCGGGAUAACACUUCGAAAGGGGUGCUAAUACCGGAUAAGCCCACGGGGUCUUUGGACUCUGCGGGAAAAGGGGGGACCUUCGGGCCUUCUGUCAUCAGAUGAGUCUGCGUACCAUUAGCUAGUUGGUUGGGUAAAGGGCUACCAAGGCGACGAUGGUUAGCUGGUCUGAGAGGAUGAUCAGCCACGCCGGAACUGAGAGACGGUCCAGACGCCUACGGGAGGCAGCAGUGGGGAAUUUUGCGCAAUGGGCGAAAGCCUGACGCAGCAACGCCGCGUGAGUGAUGAAGGCUCUUGGGUCGUAAAGCUCUGACAGAGGGAAAGAAGUGUGCGGAUGCUAAUAUCAUCUGUACUUGACGGUACCCUCAAAGGAAGCACCGGCUAACUCCGUGCCAGCCGCCGCCGUAA